UGCCACAGCUUCAGCAUCGAGCUGCUGUUAUUCCACCAAUGGUUUCUUGCACCCCAUGUAAUAUACCAAUUGGAACACCUGUAAGUGGCUAUGCUCUUUACCAACGGCACAUUAAGGCCAUGCAUGAGUCAGCACUCCUGGAGGAACAGCGGCAGAGGCAAGAACAGAUAGACUUGGAGUGCAGAAGUUCUACAAGCCCGUGUGGCACUUCUAAGAGUCCAAACAGGGAAUGGGAAGGAAAAUCAGUCGCCUAUAUGCCUUAUGCUGAGGUCAAACGUGCUCUAGAACAGGAAGCGCAGAUGCACAGUACCGCAGCAAGGUCAGCCUCACCGUGUAGGCUCUCUCCAAGAGAAGUCAGUAAAGCCGCUUCCCAGCCUGAUAUGAGUGCAGCCCGCUAUAGUGUCCCUCCAG
rnacentral:lncRNA from 1 species